CCGCGCGAGGAAUUCUAUACUGUCACACUUGCACCACGUCAUCAAUAACAAGCCAAUCACAUUCCUUCUUUUCAAACAAAAGUAUAAUAAAAAUAUUUUUUUACAAUCAUGAUGGGACAUUUAUUCAUAAAAGAAUUAAUUUGAUUGGUUUGUUACGCCACGUCACUAAUAUACCCGUUGCAUUCUAGAAUUUUUCCACCGCACGAGCCAGUG
rnacentral:lncRNA from 1 species